rnacentral:rRNA from 1 species
GGAUGAACGCUAGCUACAGGCUUAACACAUGCAAGUCGAGGGGCAGCGGGAAGUCAGCUUGCUGACUUUGCCGGCGACCGGCGCACGGGUGAGUAACACGUAUCCAACCUUCCCGUUACUCUGGGAUAGCCUUUCGAAAGAAAGAUUAAUACCGGAUAGUAUCGAGAGAUUGCAUGAUUACCCGAUUAAAGAUUCAUCGGUAACGGAUGGGGAUGCGUUCCAUUAGGCAGUUGGCGGGGUAACGGCCCACCAAACCGACGAUGGAUAGGGGUUCUGAGAGGAAGGUCCCCCACAUUGGAACUGAGACACGGUCCAAACUCCUACGGGAGGCAGCAGUGAGGAAUAUUGGUCAAUGGGCGAGAGCCUGAACCAGCCAAGUAGCGUGAAGGAUGACUGCCCUACGGGUUGUAAACUUCUUUUAUAAGGGAAUAAAGUAUUCUACGUGUAGAGUUUUGUAUGUACCUUAUGAAUAAGCAUCGGCUAACUCCGUGCCAGCAGCCGCGGUAAUACGGAGGAUGCGAGCGUUAUCCGGAUUUAUUGGGUUUAAAGGGAGCGUAGACGGCCGUUUAAGUCAGCUGUGAAAUGGUGCGGCUCAACCGUAGCACUGCAGUUGAAACUGGACGGCUUGAGUGCAGUUGAGGCAGGCGGAAUUUGUGGUGUAGCGGUGAAAUGCUUAGAUAUCACGAAGAACCCCGAUUGCGAAGGCAGCCUGCUAAGCUGCAACUGACGUUGAGGCUCGAAAGUGUGGGUAUCAAACAGGAUUAGAUACCCUGGUAGUCCACACGGUAAACGAUGGAUACUCGCUGUUGGCGAUAUACUGUCAGCGGCCAAGUGAAAACGUUAAGUAUCCCACCUGGGGAGUACGCCGGCAACGGUGAAACUCAAAGGAAUUGACGGGGGCCCGCACAAGCGGAGGAACAUGUGGUUUAAUUCGAUGAUACGCGAGGAACCUUACCCGGGCUUGAAUUGCAGACGAGUCAUCCGGAGACGGAUGAGCCGCAAGGCGUCUGUGAAGGUGCUGCAUGGUUGUCGUCAGCUCGUGCCGUGAGGUGUCGGCUUAAGUGCCAUAACGAGCGCAACCCUUUCCGCCGGUUACUAACAGGUGAUGCUGAGGACUCCGACGGUACUGCCAUCGUAAGAUGUGAGGAAGGUGGGGAUGACGUCAAAUCAGCACGGCCCUUACGUCCGGGGCUACACACGUGUUACAAUGGGGGGUACAGAAGGCAGCGACCGGGCGACCGGAAGCGAAUCCCAAAAGCCCCUCUCAGUUCGGACUGGAGUCUGCAACCCGACUCCACGAAGCUGGAUUCGCUAGUAAUCGCGCAUCAGCCACGGCGCGGUGAAUACGUUCCCGGGCCUUGUACACACCGCCCGUCAAGCCAUGAAAGCCGGGGGUACCUGAAGUGCGUAACCGCGAGGAGCGUCCUAGGGUAAAACCGGUAAUUGGGGCUA